rnacentral:lncRNA from 1 species
UUUUUUUUAACUCCUAUGGCUUGAGAUUUGUCUGUCUUUGAUUUCCUUGUGUGAAUAUAUUGCCUAGUUAUAUUAUUUUUGGCAUUUAUCCAGCAUAGUGUUCUCUGAGCAUCUUGGAUCUGUGGUUUGGUGUUGACAGUAAUUUGGGGGGAAUCCUACUAUUCAAAUAUUGCUCCUAUUCCUUUAAUUAAAAAAAAUUUUUUUAGUUGUCAAUGGACCUUUAUUUAUAUGUGGUACUUAGACUCAAACCCAGUACCUCUCACAUGCUGGGCAAAUGCUCUACCACUGAGCUAGGACCCUGGCCUUGUUCCUUUCAUUCUUAAUUCUUCUGGUUGGUAUUCCCAUUAUGAGUAUGUGGCAUUUAUAAUUGUCCCAUAGUUCUUUUUUUAAUAUUUAUUUUUUAGUUGUAGUUGGACAUAAUACCUUUGUUUUAUUAAUUUUUAUGUGGUGUUGAGGAUCGAACCCAGGACCUUACAUGUGCUAGGCGAGUGCUCUACCACUGAGCUACAGCCCCAGCCCUGUCCCAUAGUUCUUAAGUAUUAUGUGUAUUUUUGUUGUUGUCGUUGUUUGUUUUUUGUUCCUGGGGAUGGAACCUAGGUUUUCCUCAUGCUAGAUAAGUACUCUUAACAUUGAGCUAUACCACCAGUCUUUUGAUAUCCUCAAGCUCAAGAUUCUCUCCUCAUCCAUGUCCAGUCUACAAAUAAGCCCAUUGAAGGCAUUCUUUAUUUCUGUUGUUUCUUAGGAUUUCCACCUCUGUUUACGUUGGUCAUCUGUUCUUGCAUGCUGUGUGCAUCCACUGAAGCCCUUAGCAUCUCUGUUAUAGUUAUAAAUUUUAUGUCUAAUAAUGUGUCAUCUCUACUAUAUUUGACUCUGGUUUUGAGAGUCAAAUAUAUUCUCUUACACUAUUUUGUCUUUCCUUGUACCAAUAGUCUGAAAUGACUUGAUUAGUAUAGCUUAGUAAGUCAUAUAUAAAUACUGAGCCAUAAUCCCAGCUCUUUUAAUAUAUAUAUUUUAAAGAUAGAUAGAGAUAGAGAUAGAUAGAUAGAGAGAGAGAGAGAGAGAGAGAGAGAGAGAGAGAGAGAGAGAAUUUUUUAAUAUUUAUUUUUCAGUUUUCGGCGGACACAACAUCUUUGUAUGUGGUGCUGAGGAUCGAACCCAGGCCGCACGUAUGCCAAGCGAGCACGCUACCACUUGAGCCACAUCCCCAGCCCCUUUUAAUAUAUUUCUAAAUUUUUAUUUGUCCUAAUAAGUCUUGAUAGCUAGAUUUAUUGUUCUUCAAUAUUGAAAUAGCUGUUUUGCCCUUUGUAUUCUCAUAUGUUUUUAAUCUGCUUGUCAAUUUCUAAUAUAAAACUUGGAGAUUUUGAUUGGUAUUUUCAGCAAAACACGUCAAUCUGAAGAGAAUGAACAUAACAUUAAAUCUUCCAAUCCAUGAACAUACCUAUUACUGUUUAGCUCUUCUUUCAACAUUUAGUUUUUUUCUUAUGAAUCUUUCAUUAUUUCUUAGUGUCUGAUGGUUUUGGAUGCAAUCAUACCCACAAAAUUGUUUUAUAUAUUGACC